rnacentral:rRNA from 1 species
CUGGCUCAGGAUGAACGCUGGCGGCAGGCUUAACACAUGCAAGUCGAGGGGCAGCGGGAUGUAGCAAUACAUUGCCGGCGACCGGCGGAUGGGUGCGUAACGCGUAUGCAACCUACCUUAUACAGGGGAAUAACCUUUCGAAAGGGAGACUAACACCCCAUAGUAUUGAUUUAAGGCAUCUUAGAUUAAUUAAAUAUUUAUAGGUAUAAGAUGGGCAUGCGUAUGAUUAGCUAGUUGGUAAGGUAACGGCUUACCAAGGCGACGAUCAUUAGGGGUUCUGAGAGGAAGGUCCCCCACACUGGUACUGAGACACGGACCAGACUCCUACGGGAGGCAGCAGUGAGGAAUAUUGGUCAAUGGGCGCAAGCCUGAACCAGCCAUGCCGCGUGCAAGGAAGACGGCCUUAUGGGUUGUAAACUGCUUUUACAUAAGACUAACCGUAUAUUUGCGAAUAUACCUGAAUGUAUUAUGAGAAUAAGGAUCGGCUAACUCCGUGCCAGCCGCCGC